rnacentral:rRNA from 1 species
GACGAACGCUGGCGGCGUGCCUAAUACAUGCAAGUAGAACGCUGAAGGAGGAGCUUGCUUCUCUGGAUGAGUUGCGAACGGGUGAGUAACGCGUAGGUAACCUGCCUGGUAGAGGGGGAUAACUAUUGGAAACGAUAGCUAAUACAGCAUAAGAGUAGAUGUUGCAUGACAUUUGCUUAAAAGGUGCAAUUGCAUCACUACCAGAUGGACCUGCGUUGUAUUAGCUCGUUGGUGGGGUAACGGCUUAUCAAGGCGACGAUACCUAGCAGACCUGAGAGGGGGAUCUGCCACGCUGGGACUGGGACACGGCCCAGACUCCUACGAGAGGGAGCAGUAGGGAACUUCUGGCAAAGGACGGAAGUGGGACCGAGCAACGCUGCGGGAGUGACGGAGGUUGCCGGGUCGUAAAGCUCUGGAGUAAGAGAAGAAUGAGUGUGAGAGUCGAAAGGGCACACUGUGACGGUACCUUACCAGGAAGGGACGGCUAACUACGUG